UGGGGAAUCUUGCACAAUGGGCGAAAGCCUGAUGCAGCAACGCCGCGUGCGGGAAGACAGCCCUAGGGUUGUAAACCGCUUUCAGCAGGGAAGAAACUGACGGUACCUGCAGAAGAAGAUGCGGCCAACUACGUGCCAGCAGCCGCGGUGACACGUAGGCAUCAAGCGUUAUCCGGAUUUAUUGGGCGUAAAGAGCUCGUAGGCGGUUCGGUAAGUCGGGUGUGAAAACUCUGGGCUCAACCCAGAGAGGCCACUCGAUACUGCUGUGACUAGAGUGCGGUAGGGGAGCGGGGAAUUCCUGGUGUAGCGGUGAAAUGCGCAGAUAUCAGGAGGAACACCAGUGGCGAAGGCGCCGCUCUGGGCCGUAACUGACGCUGAGGAGCGAAAGCGUGGGGAGCAAACAGGAUUAGAUACCCUGGUAGUCCAUGCCGUAAAACGUUGGGCACUAGGUGUGGGUCUCAACCGAACGAGAUCCGCGCCGUCGCUAACGCAUUAAGUGCCCGCCUGGG
rnacentral:rRNA from 1 species